rnacentral:rRNA from 1 species
UACGUAGGGUGCAAGCGUUGUCCGGAAUUAUUGGGCGUAAAGAGCUCGUAGGCGGCUUGUCGCGUCGGAUGUGAAAGCCCGGGGCUCAACCCCGGGUCUGCAGUCGAUACGGGCAGGCUAGAGUUCGGUAGGGGAGAUCGGAAUUCCUGGUGUAGCGGUGAAAUGCGCAGAUAUCAGGAGGAACACCGGUGGCGAAGGCGGAUCUCUGGGCCGACACUGACGCUGAGGAGCGAAAGCGUGGGGAGCGAACAGG